UAAAAAUGCCAGAAAUUACAAAACUAUACAGAAACAACUGUUUGCAACACUCCUAACAUCAAAUUCAGCGCAAUGUUAAGCGGCUGCACUUUAACAGACGCUGAUCGAUCGGGACUGUUGUUCGAUACUGUGGCCACCCUAACGAUAACUCUGCCAUACCGACGCUUGUCCAUUUAAAAUCCCAACGUCGCGAACGAGCGAAAAAACAGAAGCGACGCGCACAAAUUUCGAAUGACGUGCAUCCAUGAAAAGAUACUAAGAUAAUUCGUUUUUAAAAGUAAAAAGUAUACAAAUAAACAGUUUAUGU